rnacentral:rRNA from 1 species
UUAAAUUGAAGAGUUUGAUCAUGGCUCAGAUUGAACGCUGGCGGCAGGCCUAACACAUGCAAGUCGAGCGGUAGCACAGAGAGCUUGCUCUCGGGUGACGAGCGGCGGACGGGUGAGUAAUGUCUGGGAAACUGCCUGAUGGAGGGGGAUAACUACUGGAAACGGUAGCUAAUACCGCAUAACGUCGCAAGACCAAAGUGG